ACCUAUCUCGAAGAACGGAACUGGACAGGGCAACUAGGAGAAGGUUAGCACCACCCAUCUGCAACGGAAAGCCAGGUCAGUGAGCUUGUUGAGGGCUGGAGUGUCAAAAGCUGAGACAGCAAGAACAGACCUCACUUUCCAUAAAUCAACACUAAACUUCAGAGGGUAUUUCUCAAGGAGAAGAAAAGGCAGCUCAGAAAUGGAAGUCACUGACCUGUCCACUCUGCUUUCCACGUUCCCACGGAGUAUCUCUCAAGAAUGUGAGAGUGUCAGGAACCCUGGCACUGUCAUGAAGAGCAAGAAGGAAAAACUCUGAGAAUUCAAACUCAGCUGGAAACUGCUGGAGGAGCUGCCAGACACAAUCAAGGAAGAGGAGAAACACUGGAGCCUGAGAAGAGGCAAAGUGAGAGGACAACAUCUGAAUGCCCAGCCUGGAGCAUCGACUCCACUGCUCUGGAGGGGAAGAAGUCACAAGGUAAGGGAACAAGUCUGUCCUGAACCUCCAACCCUUGAGUCUACUCAUCAAACCUCCCCUCACCUGAUAUCCUCCUUGUUAGGGUCGCUGGCUGUAUAGAAGCCACCACAGCGGAGAAGAUCACUGCCCCCAGGGUGAUGCCAGGACAGGCGCUUUGGAUGGUGGGAGGUUAGGAUCACCGUGGGGGAACCUGCUAGCCCCACCCUAUCCUGCCCCCACCCUGAUCUCCCUCUGCAAUGACCCCCCCUGACCUCCCAUAACCAUCUAAUCCCCAAUCAUCACCCCUGGCCCCCACACUGACCGGUCCACGGCCCUGAUGGAAGUGGCCAAAUGCUCUCCUGACCUCACUGUCCAAAGUUCGCUUAGGGACCCAGAAGUAACGGGGGAGGCUGUGAAAUUGAGAGUUAACAGUCACAGCUUGGCUCAGUGAACUCAUUACAAUGCAGACCUGUCAUUACAAGGAAGUCGCUUGGGAGGGGAUUAUUUCAAGGGACCUCAGGUUUAGAGAUCUAGGCAGUAAGGGGGAUAGCUUUGUGGAUACCGUAAGAGACUAGAGUUUGUGGGCCGUCCUCGCUUUAGAGGAUCUGAGAACUGUGGGAAGAUUGGGAGGGCAGCGGGGGUUGGGGUGGACUGAGGGAUCACCUGGUGGCUACGUCGAACCUCUCAUUGACAGGGCUGACCCUCCAGCCCCCGGCCCCCUGCUUUUUCCGCUCAGUCUCCCAGUCUUCUGAUGUCUCCAAGAGGGGAACAGGUGGUUUUCUGGACCCUGAACUCUGGCCUAGGGCAGGAAUGAAGCACAGAAAAGAAGGAAGAGGAACCAGAGAGAGCGUCUCAGCUCUACUGUCUUCAGCCAGCCUCUGCUCUUCCAGAUUCUUUACCCUUUCCCUACCCUAAAGCACCCUCACU